GGCUGUGAGUCUCAGUGGUUAGAGCACCUGCCUUGCGCAGUGAAGCCGCUCAGGGGGCAUCUCUGAAUUAAAACCAGCCCUUUCUUCCCACCCCUGAAACCCCCUGGAAACCUGGGUUUAUUCUGAGCAGGUGCUUGGCAUGCAGAAGGCCCCGGGUUCGGAUCCUGGCCACGGCUG